GACAGAGGAUGCAAGCGUUAUCCGGAAUGAUUGGGCGUAAAGCGUCUGUAGGUGGCUUUUUAAGUCCGCCGUCAAAUCCCAGGGCUCAACCCUGGACAGGCGGUGGAAACUACCAAGCUGGAGUACGGUAGGGGCAGAGGGAAUUUCCGGUGGAGCGGUGAGAUGCGUAGAUAUCAGGAGGAACACCUGUGGUGUAGACAGCUUACUGGACCAUCACUGACGCUGAGACACGAAAGCGUGGGUAGCAAACAGG
rnacentral:rRNA from 1 species